rnacentral:pre_miRNA from 1 species
UCUUAUGGAUGAGCAAAGAAAGUGGUUUCUUAAAAUGGAAUCUACUCCUGGUGAAGUGAACAUUGCUGUGAA